AACCAGGCUCAUCCACAUGGACCAUCUUGUUUGGUCGAUACCCUUUUGCCAAUAAAUGGUUCAUAGACACAUAAACAAAUACCCCACACGCCAAGCUCAUCGAAAGUGCCAAUAUCCAUGACCGUCGCUGCGGUGGCUUCUCGACGCCAUGGAACGUGCGUCUACGAGAGCUCACAUAUCAAACUCGAAUGAAGGAAGCUGGUGUGUAUGUGUUUGUGAUCAUCGAGCGUUUGUCAUGAUCCUGUCUUCUUGUGCCUAUCUAUCUUGGAGGCUCAAGAGAUUGGUCAAGAAGUAAGAAGCUAGUAAAAGCCAAUGGUAUUGUAACAAAAUUUGUUUUGUGAGCGAAAAUGCAUUGAUCAGUAGUAUGUAUGCUAGGUGAGGUAACUUGGCAAAGCCACUUGCUGUUUUCGACAUCUUA